CCUCACCACCGAUCUCCUUCCUACCCCUCGCCUAAGAUCGUCUGACGUCUCGCCUGACUGCUUUCGUUGUGUUGGUGCUCUGCGGCUGCUGUCACUGUAGAAAUUAGGUUGUGUGUGUAAAAAAACGUAAACAGUGUUGUUGGCUGAUCAAUUUUGGUAAGUUUUUUAAUAAUUAAGUUCUUAAUUUUACGUAAGUAAGUGCCAUUUUAGCUAAAGUAAGUGGUAGAAGUCCUCCCCAAUGCGUGCUGGCUCCGUCGGAAGCGAUACGUGUAUGUACCGGCGUAGAAAAGUGGCGUGAUGAACAACACAGCACAAGACAGCGGAUAUAAUGCAGAAAUGAUAUGGGCCUGCCGCAGGUGUUUGCGACUGUGCGUUGCGUUGUGGUGUAUGAUUCGCCAAUUUUCCUCUAUCCUGGAACGUGGGCUUACGAUGAACCAUUAAAGAACAUCCUCCGGGAGCUGUACGGCGACGAAUCGAGCUCUACCAGCACAGCACGCUAGAGACCCAUCCGGCACCGGGUGCCCCGAUUGCGCCGUCAGACGGUGUCGAGCGCGCUCGUUCACAACGUUCGGGGCAGGAAUUCAACCCUUCGGAUCUGCAUUAUCCGCUGCCCCACAAUAGCUGCAGCAGCAACAGGACCGAACCGACCGCACUACUGAUUGCGGUCAAAUUUCCUGGCAGGAGAAAAAAAAACCCCACGAGUGUAUCGAUUUCAUCGACGGCCGCUCGCUGGCAGCACCAACAUGCCACCGAAUAACCCCGGAAAGGCGACAAACACUCAUCUCCAGCGGCAAAUUGGUAACAUUAACCCACUUUCGCACAUCUAUACGACGUCACGUUAAUAGUGUUAUUGUGUAAAUUGUAAAAAAAAUACGUUAAUGAGUUAAGAUUAAUCUUAAGUGCGCUUUAAGGCAUACAUCGAUAUGCCUAAUUUUAGGUUAAGUGUUUUGAAAUGCGCGUGUGUGCGAAGGGUCGAAAUGAGCGCUAAGCAAACUAAGCGGCCGCGUAGGGCCCCGUCGUCUUGAGGGGCCCCAAAAAAGGAACCCAUCCCCCGCUCGCAAGUUAAAUUGAUACUCAAUCCUUCUCUAGUUUAGAAUAUUUCCCUGCUAGACGCUUAAACCAAACUUACAUUUAUGCGACUGCUUAGGGCAUCCACUCGUAUGUGCGGUUUUUACAUAACAUUUAAGAUAAAUAAAUCUAGUUUCUUCUUCUUCUUUGGCUCAACAACCGAUGCCGGUCAAG